rnacentral:tRNA from 1 species
UAAUGUGGCUCAGUGGUAGAGCAAUGCCUUGGUAAGGCAUAGGUCGCGGGUCCGAUUCCCGCCAUUA